UCCCUGGUGGCCCAGUGGUUAGGACUCUGCCUUUCUACUGCAGUGGGCCCAGGUUCAAUCCCUGGUCGGGGAA